CCUACGGGAGGCAGCAGUGGGGAAUAUUGGGCAAUGGGCGCGAGCCUGACCCAGCCAAGUCGCGUGAAGGAAGAAGGCUCUAGGGUUGUUAACUUCUUUUUUCCGGGGCGAAGCAAGUGACGGUACCUGAGGAUUAAGCUACGGCUAACUACGUGACAGCAGCCGCGGUAGUACGGAGGUGGCAAGCGUUAUACGGAUUUACUGGGUGUAAAGGGCGUGGGGGCGGGGACGCAAGUCAGAUGUGAAAACCGUGGGCUCAACCUGUGGCCUGCAUUUGAAACUGUGUUUCUUGAGUACUGGGGAGGCAUACGGAAUUCCUGGUGUAGCGGUGAAAUGCAUAGAUAUCAGGAAGAACCCCGAUUGCGAAGGCAGUCUACUGGACAGCAACUGACGCUGAGGCGCGAAAGCGUGGGGAGCAAACAGGAUUAGAUACCCUUGUAGUC
rnacentral:rRNA from 1 species